rnacentral:rRNA from 1 species
ACACGUGGCUAAUCUGCCCUUAGGACGAGAACAACCCCGGGAAACUGGGGCUAACUCUCGAUAGGCGAAGAACUCUGGAAUGAGUCUUUACCUAAAUAGUGCAACGUUAUCCUCGUUGCAUCGCCUAAGGAUGAGGCCGCGACCGAUCAGGUUGUUGGCGAGGUAAUGUCUCACCAAGCCUUUUACCGGUGCGGGCCGUGAGAGCGGGAGCCCGGAGAUGGGCACUGAGACAAGGGCCCAGGCCCUACGGGGCGCAGCAGUCGCGAAAACUUUGCAAUAAGCGAAAGCUUGACAGGGCUAUCCCGAGUGCCGUCCGCUGAGGAAGGCUUUUACCCAGUCUAGAACGCUGGGGGAAUAAGGAGAGGGCAAGUCUGGUGUCAGCCGCCGCGGUAAUACCAGCUCUCCGAGUGGUGUGGAUGUUUAUUGGGCCUAAAGCAUCCGUAGCUGGCUAGGUCAGUCCCUUGUUAAAUCCACCGAAUUAAUCGUUGGAUUGCGGGGGAUACUGCUUGGCUAGGGGACGAGAGAGGCAGACGGUAUUUUCGGGGUAGGGGUGAAAUCCUAUAAUCCCGGGAAGACCACCAGUGGCGAAGGCUGUCUGCUAGAACGCGCCCGACGGUGAGGGAUGAAAGCUGGGGGAGCGAACCGGAUUAGAUA